AAGGAAUGAAAGGAACAUAAUAUAUCAAAUUUGUAAUGAGUAAUUUGUAAUAACUAGAUUGCAUUUGGAUGAAAAAGAAUGUAAAAAGAAUUGUAAUGUAAAAAUAUGUGAAUGUGAAUGUAUGUAAUAAUAUAGGAUGUGUUAUGUUGUUGAUACCUUCCUUAUGCAAUCUGUUUGUUGAAUACUGUUCCUGGUUGGAACCUUCGUAUUGUAUUGAUUGCGUUGCCUUAAA
rnacentral:lncRNA from 1 species